rfam:Candidate division WOR-1 bacterium RIFCSPLOWO2_02_FTLL_46_20 rifcsplowo2_02_scaffold_2931, whole genome shotgun sequence.
GGAGGAGUACCCAAGUGGUCCAAGGGGACGGUUUGCUAAACCGUUAGUGGGCGCAAGCCCAGCGUGGGUUCGAAUCCCACCUCCUCCG